rnacentral:lncRNA from 1 species
AUUUCAUUGGUUAUAUAUUUCCAUUAAAUUAACUGCUGUGACUUCAGGAAUACAGUGCUUGAGUGUGUGUCUGUCUACUCAAAAGAAAAAAAAGAUGCUGUAAAUUAGACAAUUGGACAUUAUGGUAUCUUUAUGUAAUUCUUUUCUAAGGCAAUAUUGAAAUACAGAAAAGAAAGAGGAGCUUGCUUUGUUUUGACAUCUGUUCAACAGCAGAUUUCUUCUUGUUGUUUUAUGUCCAGUAGAAAAUGGGUUGAAGUUCAACAAGAAUGAGUGCCGGGUCCUACACUUCAGUCACAAGAACUCCAGGCAGUGCUACAGGCUUGGAGCAGAAUGGAUGGAAAGCUGAACUGAGGAAAAGUAUCUGGGAGUAUUGGACUGAACAAACUUGCCUGAAUGUGAGACAGCAGUGUGGCCAAGAAAAUCAACGGCAUCUUGGCUUGCAUCAGAAAUAGUGUAGCCAGCAGGAGCAGCGAGGUGAUUGCCCCUCUGUACUCAGCUUUGCUGUCCAGAGACCUCCAUGGGGGAAGGGAAAUUCUGAGACCAAGGAACAUGCUUGUAUUUUGGCAAAGACUUCUCGAUCGUCCUUGCAUUCCACAGCGAUCUAUGGGACAAAAGGAGUGUUGGGAAUUACUUGUGAGUUGAGUGUUAUGUGUGAAAAUACAACCUGUUGACGAACGAUCAUCUGAUGCAGCAUUCCUGGAGAGUUAUCUCGGUGCUCCCCCCGGGGCUGCCUGUAAAGUAUACCUUGUUUAACAGUAACAAAAUUUUACUGUGGUCUUUAGAUAUUGCGGAUGAUAAUUGUGAUGUAGUAUUGAAGAUGAGGAGACGCUGUAAAGCUGGUCUGCAUUAACAAGGCAAAAGAAAUUACAACGGAAUGCCUAGAAUGUGACAGACAGCAUCAGGAUGUUCCCCUUUGUCUUCCUUACCUGUGUGUACAGAGACUUCUCGAUCGUCCUUGCAUUCCACAGCAAUCUAUGAGAUAAAAGGAGUGUUGGGAGGAAGUAAACGACCACCCCAAGGAAUAAUGGACCGACUGUAGACCAUCACGGCGCUGGAAGGCUAUAUGACAUUAAGCUCACCAAAUAAGGCUGCGUGUUUUGGGCAGUCAUUAGGGGUAAUGAAUUUGGGAAAGUAAUGAAUAUGUAAUACAUGUGAAAAUACAACCUGUUCACAGACGGUCAUCUGGUGGAGCGUUCGUGGAAAGUUAUCUCGAUGCUCCCCCUGGAACUGUCAAAAAAUAAUAUCUUGCGUAACGGUAACAAAACUUUGCUGUUAAGUUUCUACUCACCGAUUUCUCUAAAUCAGCUGGAACCAUUUAUUUGUUUGUUUGUUUGUUUGUUUGUUUUCCC